GCGCCGUGGUGUAAGGCGAACAUCGCUGCCCGGAAAGCAGAAGAUGCGGGUUCGAGUCCCGCCUGGCGCA
rnacentral:tRNA from 1 species